GGCCAUGUGGUGAAGUAGAUACACGGCGGUCUGCAAAACCGCUACACGCGGGUGCGAAUCCCGCCAUGGCCU
rnacentral:tRNA from 1 species